GUUUAUUUUCUUAACAUAAAGUUUCUGAUUAUGUUAAAGUGUAUUUUCUUAUAGAUCACAUAGCGUUUGUUUUAAUCACCAGCAGAUAACAAACAGGUCUUCACCUAAACGCUGUGUGUUUUAGGAAAACACAUAAUAUAAAUGUUUUGCAUUACAACAAAACAGUUAUUAUGUGUUGAAUAAAACACACAGCGUUGCAUCAAGGUACUUGCUGGUGGCGAAGACACUAUGAAGUACGUCAUAGAUGACGUCCCAAUCGCAUAGAAACUGGCGCCCUCUGGUGACAGUAGAAAGAAACUUACGGUAAACCAUAGAGAUUCAGGUAUGUUUUCUUAAAUUAUUUAUGGUUUCAAGGCUAUUCACAGACUGCUUCUUCACCUAAACGCUGUGUGUUUUAUUCAACACAUAAUAACUGUUUUGUUGUAAUGCAAAACAUUUAUAUUAGUGUUUCUUAGCUUCCAAGUACAUUUUUUUUGGACAAAAUCAAUAGCGUAAUAAUAACAAUGCCAGUAUGUAGUGUUUUAGCGUGUGAAAACAGAACAUAUCGAAGCAGUCCGGGUACAUCCUAUCACAGGUUUCCACUUCAAGAACGUGAACGCACUGAUUGGGUUAAAGCAUGUGGAAUAACAAACUGGGAACCGCCUAAAAGUUCUGUAAUAUGCUCUAAGCAUUUUGAUGGCAACUUCUUUAUUAAACAUGGAGAUAGAACAAGUCCAACCAAGUUCUGUCAUUUGGAAAAUGUUUCUGUACCAAGUUGUUCACCAUCCUCAAUGCAACAUAGUGAAGUUGCCGGCAUCCCUGCCAACUAUAUUUAGAAGCAGGAAAAUCCAACUAAGCGAGGCAAAAGAACAUGAUUACACAGAUACGCCUCGGAAGAAAAAGUUAAAGCUUAUACUUGAAAGAAAAAGGGUUUUGUCAGAAACUCGAUUGAAAAAACUACGUGCUGCAAGACAAGCGAACCGGCGUUUAGUAAAAAAAAAUGCUGAACUGUCUGACGUUAUUGCUGAACUGCGGCUAAACUUUAAAUUUUGAAAAACAGAUCAACUCUUCUCUUUCAUUUUUAAGAGAUGAUGCGUUAAUAGAAGAAGCUUUCGAAUCCGAGGAACUUGAUUUUUCAGUAGACCAUGACUAUCUGCCAGAUCCAUCCCGUUUAACAGAAUAUACAAAACAUGUAGUGGUAUAUAUUGCGGGCUUUGUUGUUACCAAAGUGUCCAAAAUAGUAAAGUGUCACGAUUGCUUAAGUAGCAUAGUGGAGAUGUCAAAUUUAAACUUGUUAUUAAUUUCCAAAAAAGACAAAGGCGGUUUGCGAUAUCCUUCUGCUGAUGUAAUAAAUUUAUGUGAAAUUGCUGAAAGAAUUUUUAGACAAAAUGUCAUACGGUUAGGUUUAAAAAUACUGUCAACAAAAAAAUAUUUUAAUGCUUUUAAUCAGGAAAUGUAUACAACUAAGCCCAAUUAAAGAUUUUUUUUAAUUUCACGGCAACCGGUUUGACCAUUCUCCUUUAGAAAGCCAUGAAAUGCUUUUAAUGCCAUAAUUAUGAAUUAUUUAAAAGUUCGGUUUCAUCAUUACGCCAAAAACUUAUCAGAGCCUGAUGUAAAAGUGCGAAAUAUGUACAACAAAUUGACCCUGUUACGUAAUCAAUGAAUAUUUUCAGUUUA
rnacentral:lncRNA from 1 species